rnacentral:rRNA from 1 species
AUGAGAGGGUCAAUACAAGAGCUCUCUUACAAAGAAAAUUUUUUCUUCCUGGAAGAUUAUACUUGUACACUAUGCAAUCGACAUGUUAUUGAAACAAGAGAUCAUCUAUUCUUUCACUGUCCAUUUGCACAACUUUGCUAGUCUUAUCUAUGCUCUUCUUGGGUCCCUACUUUCCUGGGUCUUCAAUCAGAAGUUGAUCAAUUAAACCAGCUACUGAAUGUGCCUUUUGCAUUUGAAAUUAUCAUUUUGGCAUCUUGGGAAAUCUGCACCACAAGGAACGAUUCUAUAUUCAAGCACAUACCCCCGAGCCUAUAUGUUUGCAGGAAAAAAAUUCAAAGAAGUGCUUAA